rnacentral:lncRNA from 1 species
UACCUGAGUACGGGCGUGGUAAAGAAGAUCAGCAGCUUGAAAAGUUCCACUGGGACAGUUGAUGGGUGUGUUGCCGGCUUUAAGAUACUUAGAAUAAGCAGCGAGGACGAAGCUAGCGGUGGUGGUGUAUUGGAGGUUGUUCCACGGCAAGAACCAAAGCAAACCACCCGGAGUAACCUUAACGUUAUUGGAGCCCAUUUGAACACAGUUGCAAAUGAAAUACUCAGCCAUAUUCUUGAAAUCUUGCAACUUAUCGCCGGUGUUUCCUCCCCUUUCGAGUGCAAGCUGCAUUUGCAAUUAAAAAAGUUAAAGUUUUGUUUGUUUCUUGUCAGACAAAUUAAUGAAAAUAGACAUAUAACCUACCUUGGCCAUCAAGACUUGUGCACCCACGAACUUAUCAUCCCAUGCAAAAAUAGUCCUUUGACCUCCGGUACCAUAUUCUUCCAUUAAAUAGUCGAGAUAAGUCUGGUCAUCAGUGGCACGGUGGAGCCAAGCCGCGGCCCAGAAUAACUCAUCUUGGUAUCCGCUGCUCGGGUAGAAGCCACCUGCGUUAGUUAUGGAGCUUUGGUAGAGCCCAGGGUAAGCCUUGGCGAAUUCAAAUAGAUCUUUUGCAUGACCAAUAAGUUUUGCGCUAUAGGCUGCAUCAUAUUGGGCAAAGGCUAGUGAAGCUGCGGCCAUAGCUGCAGCCGUCUCGCCUGCUAGGUCAGCACCGGGAUGCUGAGCAUCAAUGCGGUAAGAAGGACGGGGAGUUGUCAUGUCCUCGGGUCUCAUCCAGCACGCAUGGUCCGAGUUGCCGUCUCCCACUUGUCCGUAAAGAACAUUGGGCUCUGGGUGGGCGUUGAUGAGAUAGUCAGUGGCCCAUUUGAUAGCCGCAAGGACGUUGUCGUGCUCUUUAUAAGUCUUAAGCUCCGAUUCCAUCUCUACACUGCUCCAUGCUAGCAUUGUGGUCGUGAACGCCAUUGAGAAUCCAAACUUCAUGUUGUCUCCAGCAUCAUAGUACCCUCCAGUGAGAUCAACCUGUUUUUGUUACAGUCGUCAGCACAUUUUGAUAUAUUUUACUUACAAUACUAAAAAGAAGUGAGAUGGAUUUAAAUUACAUGGGCAUCAGAACCGUCUCUAAGUGCAGAAUCUCCUCUCCAGUUGACUCUUUGGUUCGGCGGCAAUUUUCCAGAGCGUUGAGCUUCGAAAUACAAAAGACUCUUUGUGAGAGCUUCUCCAUAAUUAGCCCCAUGAGUCAUCGGCAUUGACAAUAACGCAAUGAAAAGAGUACUUGUCCAUAAGCAUUGUGAAGAGCCACUUCUCAGUUGAGACAUCGUUUUUCUAAUUAAUCUUAUGACCAACUUUUACUUGUGUUUACUUGUAUCUAUCUAUGUGUGCAACUAUUUAUAGGUAAUCUAUAAGAUGGUAUCUAUAGCUAAUUAAGAAUAAUAUAAUUACAAUUUUCUAAUCAGUCACUAAUUACAAUUUUCUAGUAAAAAAAUAUUAUUAUUUAGAUAUGUGUUAUCCGUGAAAUUGUGUUUUGGUCACAUAGUUGACCAUAUAUAUAGUCAACUAGUUGACUAUGGAUAUAUAUGGAUGGAUCUAUAUGACCAAAACACAAUUUUACAGAUAACACAUAUCUAAAUGAUAAUACUUUUUGACUAGAAAAUUGUAAUUAGUUCUCUUUCUUAUUUUAUAUCUUAAGUAUAUCCAUAGUCAAACUAUAGGGAUUUUUUUCAAAAUUGACUCAAAACUUAAAGUCAAUGCAAAACUAAUCCAUGAUUUUUUUGAAAUUUUUAUUUUCUUACUCACCUCAAAAAUUUGGAUUAUUCACGAAAAUGUUAUUAUUAUGUUUUUCUUUACGAAAAUAAGUAUUUUACUCUAUCAUUUUCAUCAAUUAUUUACAAUAUUGUCAUUGUCAUCAAUACACCAACCACUAUUCACAUUAUUACUUAAUUUAACAGAUUAAAACCGAUUUAGAUCGAUUUCAAUCGAAUUUUAAAAAAAUCGCUUCGGAUAGAACUGAUUUGCCGCCUAGACGGAGGCGUAGGUGAAGCCUAGAACAAUUUUUAGAACCAAGGUUAUAUCACAAAUUCACCUAAUUAUAUAGUAUACCAAAGUUUUUUUUUUUAACAAAAGAAAACAAAGAUACUAAUAACGAAAAGUACAAGAAAAUAAUUUAAACAAAUCACAUAACAAUCAAAAAGACCUAAACGAAAAAGACCAAAAUUUUAACUUAACGAAUAAAGAAAAAUUUAUGAAAAAGUAUGAGAGGAAUAAACACUUAAUUGCCACAAAUUAACAAGAAAAAAAACACCCUCAAACCUUGAAACGAUGGCCUAUACAACUAUCGAAAAAAUCACACAUCAACAGCCGCUCAAGAACAUUCCGUCAUUGCACGUCACGGCGGUGCUGUUCUGUUUGAUCGACACUAUAGAGGCUCCUCUAUGGUGUGGACUCUUUGGAUAGUUGGUUCCGAAUCCAACCAUGUAGCUCAUGCUCUUCGGGUUUGAUCCAAGUAUGUAGUCUACCUAUAUAAACCAAUAUUAUCGUGUGUAAAUUGUUAGGCAAUAAAUAUCGUUCGUGGUACUAGGCAAUACCAUAGUGUAUAAUACGUUUUAGCUACCUGAGUACGGGCGUGGUAAAGAAGAUCAGCAGCUUGAAAAGUUCCACUGGGACAGUUGAUGGGUGUGUUGCCGGCUUUAAGAUACUUAGAAUAAGCAGCGAGGACGAAGCUAGCGGUGGUGGUGUAUUGGAGGUUGUUCCACGGCAAGAACCAAAGCAAACCACCCGGAGUAACCUUAACGUUAUUGGAGCCCAUUUGAACACAGUUGCAAAUGAAAUACUCAGCCAUAUUCUUGAAAUCUUGCAACUUAUCGCCGGUGUUUCCUCCCCUUUCGAGUG